UACGUAGGGGGCUAGCGUUGUCCGGAAUCAUUGGGCGUAAAGAGCGUGUAGGCGGUCCGGUAAGUCCGCUGUGAAAGUCGGGGGCUCAACCCUCGAAUGCCGGUGGAUACUGUCGGGCUAGAGUGCGGAAGAGGCGAGUGGAAUUCCUGGUGUAGCGGUGAAAUGCGCAGAUAUCAGGAGGAACACCUAUUACGAAGGCAGCUCGCUGGGACGUAACUGACGCUGAGACGCGAAAGCGUGGGGGAGCGAACAGG
rnacentral:rRNA from 1 species